rnacentral:rRNA from 1 species
UACGAAGGGGGCUAGCGUUGCUCGGAAUCACUGGGCGUAAAGCGCACGUAGGCGGAUUGUUAAGUCAGGGGUGAAAUCCUGGAGCUCAACUCCAGAACUGCCUUUGAUACUGGCGAUCUUGAGUCCGGGAGAGGUGAGUGGAACUGCGAGUGUAGAGGGUGAAAAUUCGAUAGAUUGUCAAAGAACACCAGUGGCGAAGGCGGCUCACUGGCCCGGGUACUG